rnacentral:rRNA from 1 species
UACGUAGGUGACAAGCGUUGUUCGGAUUUACUGGGCGUAAAGGGCGCGUAGGCGGCGCGUAAAGUCGGACAUGAAAUCAUUGGGCUUAACCCAAUGGCUGUGCCCGAUACUUGCGUGCUUAGAGUGCGGGAGAGGCAAUCGGAAUUCUCGGUGUAGCGGUGAAAUGCGUAGAUAUCGAGAGGAACUCCAGUGACGAAGGUGGGUUGCUGGACCGACACUGACGCUGAGGCGCGAAAGCUAGGGGAGCAAACGGG